UACGUAGGGGGCAAGCGUUGUCCGGAUUUAUUGGGCGUAAAGAGCUCGUAGGCGGCUCACUAAGUCGGAUGUGAAAACUCCAGGCUCAACCUGGAGACGCCAUUCGAUACUGGUGUGGCUUGAGUUCGGUAGGGGAGCACGGAAUUCCUGGUGUAGCGGUGAAAUGCGCAGAUAUCAGGAGGAACACCGAUGGCGAAGGCAGGUCUCUGGGCCACUACUGACGCUGAGAAGCGAAAGCAUGGGGAGCGAACAGG
rnacentral:rRNA from 1 species